ACAAGUGAUGGCUUCUAACAAGAAACGCAACCGAGAAAGGUAUUGUGUUUGUUACAAAAUACUCCCGUCAGACUCACUUAGAGGGCCAAAGUGGUUCAGAUGUGAGGUUAAAUUACACCUGGAAUCCAAGCGUUGAAUAUGCUGGCCAAGAUCGUUCAUCCUUCAGUCGGCUUCAGCCAAAGGUAAAGAGACAGCGUCGUGAUGCCAGCGGCUCCAUUCGUCAACAAAAUGCAAGUGAGUUGUCGUCGUGCUGCGGCCGUCGUCACAAUGUUCAGCUCGUGUCCGCCACUCCCGAGACGAAGGGUUGCGGCGCCUCUUGGUGAGUGGCGUAAACUUGACCCUGAACGUAACCCUGACCAUCACUUUCCUCGUCCUCGUGCACCGUUGGAGGGGGCGGGGGUGCGGCUGAGCGUUCACCCCGGCACGCAGCGACUCCCUUCUUUCCUUUACCCUGGCCGGAGAGCUCCAGCAUAAAGGACAGCCAUGAACAUGGGACCCAAUAUAUUUUUGCUGACUGCUCUCUUUGCAGCUACUUAUGCAGGGACUUUGGACAAGCCAGCCCUGAGGUCAGGACGCACCGCAAAAAUCAAUAGAGAGUGGCGACAGUCUCCCGGAAGAGGCACAUUCUCAACAGCUGGGACAGCUGCUGGCAACAGCCUUAUCAAGCCACGCCAGCUGUCUUGCACAGAAGAAGGCUUUUUUCCCCUACCAGGCU